CAUACAUUCCUGUUUGUAGGCUAAUGUCAUUAUAUUAUAAGUUCCAUAUUAUAUACUGCUUUUUAAUUGGAAAAAUAAUGUUAAUAAUAAUGUCAGUUAAAUACCAGAAUCUGUCGGAAACCACUCUUUUUGGGUCCGAGUUUAGUGUUCUCGACCUUUUCCUUAGUAGAUUUAUAGACUUGUGAAAUUAUUAAAAGAAAAGUAGAAAACAAACAAAAGAAGAACAUAUACUCCCUCAGUUUUUUAAUAUUUGACGUUUUAGAAAAAAAAAAUUUUGUUCCAAAUUAUUUGACAUUUUGAAUUUUUUAUAUAAAAUUUAUUAAUAAUUAAUGCUAGAUGACCAAUGAUGUUAUAGUUUCUAUUUUAUUAUUGGUUAAAUUGUGGUUGGUAAAUAAUUAAUGAUGUUUUUGUUUAGAAAAAUAAAUGUUUUUUAAUCUAUUUGUACAAUCCUAAAACGUUAAUAUAAAAAAAAACGGAGGAAAUAUAUUUUAUUGAAAAAACAAGAAAAGAUAGACAAUUGAUGGUCUUUAAUGUUAACAACCACACUGUCAUUUACUAAAAAUUAAUUAAUAAUUUUGUUUAUGUCGCUAAUAUGGACAACAUAAGUCUCUGAUUAAGAUUCUCUCUACCACGGUACCAGCCUUCUUGGUCCGGAGACAAUAAACAUGAGUCUGUUUAGAGAACGAGAGAGAAAAUUUCCUCUGCCUUCUCACUAGAACUCAGCCGUGGGAUUUGCGUCUCCGGCCGGCGGGUUUGGCUACCCUAGCCACCGUCGGUCGGGUUUGUGUUGUCUUUAGAGUUUUUAUUUUAUUUAGUUUUUUGUUUGUGAGAAGGAAGGAUCUCGGUCUCCUUUUGGUUCCGACUCCGGGAGAUGGAAGCUUCGCAGCUCCGUCGUCGCUGACUUAUGACUCUGGAAAUGGAGGCUUUCAAAGCUCUGUUUGCCGGCUUAAGACUAAAGACGAAAGUAAUUGGGUUAGUUACCGAUCUAUGGGAGGGUUAUGUGUGUUGGAAUGGUGGUUUGAUGGAGCGGAUGAAAUCUCGUCGUUGGACGAUUGAAGCUCUCCGAUGAAUGAUGGUUCUGAUGUGUGUGAAGCCUCUUCUCUGUGUUUGUGGCGUAAGGUAUUGGAUGAGAUCUCGAACUAUCGUUGAUGCUCUCCGAUGUUGAAACACAUGAGAUGGUGGGCUCGUUGUUAGUAAUCCUGUUCCCGGCAGGUUUUCCGGUGGUUGAUGUGGUGCAGACGAGGUUGUUCUCCGACAUUAAACUUUGGUCGGUGAAGUCAUAGAGGGGGUCUCUCUGCGGUUCAACGCGUGUCCGUCACUUCCUCCUCUGUCAUACACGUUUCGUGUGCGUGUCUUUAGUUCUGGGUGGGUUUAAUUGGGCUUCUUUGGGCCUCAUCCUUGUGGGUUUAAGUCUACUCGUUUGUGGGCUUAUGUAUAUAUUUCUAGCUUUUGUUUGGGCCUGUUUUGGCUUUGUUCUUGUACUUUUAUCCUGUUUAAUACUCCCUCCGUUUUUUAAUAUAAGUCGUUUUACAGCUA